CGGGACGGGGUGGAGUAAUGUCUGGGAAACUGCCUGAUGGAGGGGGGUAACUACUGGAAACGGUAGCUAAUACCGCAUAACGUCGCAAGACCAAAGAGGGGGACCUUCGGGCCUCUUGCCAUCGGAUGUGCCCAGAUGGGAUUAGCUAGUAGGUGGGGUAAAGGCUCACCUAGGCGACGAUCCCUAGCUGGUCUGAGAGGAUGACCAGCCACACUGGAACUGAGACACGGUCCAG
rnacentral:rRNA from 1 species